rnacentral:lncRNA from 1 species
GUCUGAUAUAGUUGUGCUAGAAAUAGCCAGUCAGAGUUACAUCAAAUAUUUUGCACCUAUAUAAUAUGUCAGUUUGGAUAACUCCUGUUUUUUUAAAAUUUCUGUAGAUAUACCUAAUGAAUCAACUCAAACAAAUGCUUUUGUUUUGGCAGCCAGUUGGGACCACAACAAUUAACAAUGAUAUAUUUUCUGGAUACAAGAGCUUCAAUAGCAUCAAAUAGGCAAUUCCUGCUUUUAGUUUAUGCCUGCAGGGGAUGAUGGGAAGUAAGGUAUCAUAGUGCUGAUUAUGCUGAAAAUAAUAAAUAAAAACUACCGAAGCAACCAAAAUAUUUCAAUAUUUACAAGUAUAAGCUAUCACUCUGUGUUUACACGGCCACCAUUUUUAUUUUUUCAGCAUAAUCAGCAAUGUGAUACCUUACUUCCUAUCGUCCCCUGCACACAUAAACUAAAAGCUAGAAUUGCCUAUUGUCGUGGUCUAAACUUUCAAUGUCCAAGUUCUAGUUUACAGCACCAUCCAUUGAAAUUCUUUCUGGAGUUGUAGGCAAUGUUCCACUUUCAACAGUUUCUCAUCGACUUUUGGUUGCAACAGUAAUGGCGUCAUUGGAACAAUUUAUAUCAUUGCCAAGUGACACUUUGUAUUCUGCAUGUGUACAUUAGUUCAUACUAGAUUGACACAUCAUCCAUGGAAUUAUUCUGUAGAAUAAUUAAGAUAUUUGUAUGUUACCAUAGUCACUACUAUAGGUUCACCUGGCAAUUAUAAUGAUAAAUCUAAUUAAUUAUUGUUGUUUGUUGUUUUAAAAUUUCCAAAGUGAAAGUUUUGAACUCAUUUAUUGGGUCGUUCCAGAAAAGAUCCACACUCCCCUCACAGAGGAAAUUUUUGCAGUGGAGACAAAAUUGUUUCUGAUAAUAGGGGGAGGGGGUUACAAUUCCCUCUCUGGGGGUGGUAUGGAUGUUUUCUGGAAUGACCCAUUAGCUUUGCCAUGAUACAGUAUAAAGUACAUCAAAUAAACAGACAU